AAGUUGAUGCAAACUUCGCUGCAGCAGGUUUACCAAUAACAAUGUGAGUUAAUUUAAUGUGCUUUAACUGUGAAUAGUUGCUUCUCGUUCCUCAUUCAAGAAACAAAGAAUUGUACUGAAUCAACACCUAGAAAGAACUUUAGUUAUUUAAAUUAUCAGUGUAGAUAUGUUUUAUUGUAGAGCACAACUUGAUAUCUACUCCUGUGACACUUGGAUUUUUAAUGUGAG
rnacentral:misc_RNA from 1 species